rnacentral:rRNA from 1 species
CCUGAGAAACCCAAAAGAUCGMAAGGGGAGAUUCAUCGYCAGCUCGYUUUGUAUAUACAUAKGUUAUGAUGCGAGUUACCAUUUGUGUGGUAUUGCUCGUACGUACUUGUGCAUUUAUUUGCAAAAUAUGGUCGGCGUGCACUUCUCCCCUAGUAGAACAUCGCGACCCGUUGGAUGUCGGUUUACKUGCCAAGGGCAAAGCCUUUAAUUUUUCUAUAAUCUUAAAGAUCCUUGGUGUAAAUUGACCGGCAGUCCGGCGGUACUCKUAUGGUAUUUAGCCGCAAUUUAAUUUGCGUCCAUAGCCGUCGCAAGUGAGGCUAGUUUUUUGCAGUACGGACUUUGAGCCGUCGCGAAAAUUGGCCAGCUGUUGGCUGUMCGGAAAACUCGGACAGGCUAAUAAAUCGUAUACUGUCUACCGGUCGGCGAUGCUACUGCUUUGGGUACUUUCAGGACCCGUCUUGAAACACGGACCAAGGAGUCUAACAUGUMCGCGAGUUAUUGGGAUAUUUUGUAAAUUAAACCUAAAAGCGCAAUGAAAGUAAAGGUCGGCCUUGCGUCGACUAAGGGAGGAUARGUUGUGUUGAGAUACAACUUCGCACUCCCGGGGCGUCUCAUUCUCAUUAUGCGAGGAGGCGCACCUAG